AAUCAACGCUGGCGGCGUGCCUCAGACAUGCAAGUCGAACGAUUAAAGCUCCCUUCGGGGAGUGCAUAAAGUGGCGCACGGGUGAGUAACACGUAAGUAAUCUACCCUCGGGUGGGGAAUAACAUCGGGAAACCGAUGCUAAUACCGCAUAAUGCAGCGGCACCGCAAGGUGACAGUUGUUAAAGAUUUAUUGCCUGGGGAGGAGCUUGCGGCAGAUUAGCUUGNGGUAAGGUAACGGCUUACCAAGGCUACGAUCUGUAUCCGGUCUAAGAGGACGGUCGGACACACUGACACUGAAUAACGGGUCAGACUCCUACGGGAGGCAGCAGUCGGGAAUUUUGGGCAAUGGGGGAAACCCUGACCCAGCAACGCCGCGUGAAGGAUGAAGGCCCUUGGGUCGUAAACUUCUUUUAUCGGGGAAGAAUAAAUGACGGUACCCGAUGAAUAAGCCACGGCUAACUACGUGCCAGCAGCCGCCGCAGU
rnacentral:rRNA from 1 species